rnacentral:tRNA from 1 species
GGGAAUAUGGCUGAAUGGUGAGAGCACUUGCCUGGCAUGCAUGAGGCUUUCGGUUCAAUUCCAGGUACCA